CCUACGGGCGGCUGCAGUGGGGUAUAUUGCACAAUGGGCGCAAGCCUGAUGCAGCCAUGCCGCGUGUAUGAAGAAGGCCUUCGGGUUGUAAAGUACUUUCAGCGAGGAGGAAGGCAUUGAGGUUAAUAACCUCAGUGAUUGACGUUACUCGCAGAAGAAGCACCGGCUAACUCCGUGCCAGCAGCCGCGGUAAUACGGAGGGUGCAAGCGUUAAUCGGAAUUACUGGGCGUAAAGCGCACGCAGGCGGUCUGUCAAGUCGGAUGUGAAAUCCCCGGGCUCAACCUGGGAACUGCAUUCGAAACUGGCAGGCUAGAGUCUUGUAGAGGGGGGUAGAAUUCCAGGUGUAGCGGUGAAAUGCGUAGAGAUCUGGAGGAAUACCGGUGGCGAAGGCGGCCCCCUGGACAAAGACUGACGCUCAGGUGCGAAAGCGUGGGGAGCAAACAGGAUUAGAUACCCUUGUAGUC
rnacentral:rRNA from 1 species